rnacentral:miRNA from 1 species
UGGCGCCUUUCUGUUCCAA